CGCAGAGCCGCCCGCCUCCGCAGAGGUCACCGCACCCAUGUGACUGAGAGAGCGCAGUGUGCGUUCCCCGCUUCCGGUGUCGGACAUUUUGUCCCAGGACCGAGAAAGUAACUGAGAUGCACCCAACCCGUGGCCUCUUCUGAAAAAGAAAAAUGGUUGGGAAGUAGGAGCUUUCAAUGGUCCCAGACUGCUUCAUCUUAAGUAGUGAAGGACCAUAAACGCUCGUGAAAAAAUGUUGGCAAAUAGCUGAAGGAAUGGAACUGGGUUGCUGAUGGGAAGAAAAGCUAUUCUGGCAAUUGUUCAUUCAGAGAAAACAGAGCUCAGGAGGCAAGUACUAGGGAUACCGAGGGAUGAGGACAGCAGGGCUUCAGGGAAGAGGAGGACCAGUGUCCAGGACACUUUCUCGGCCAGCUGGGCAGGCUGCUGGAAAGCAAAGGGAUCACUGGGAGUGCAGAGGCAUCUGCCCCCGCUGGGGAGGAGCACCAUCGUCUCCCUCUGUUCAUACCAGUCAGCCCUGGGCAGAAAUACUGGCACAACAACUGCACACAGGUAGAGGAAAGCAAUA